ensembl:rRNA 5S_rRNA 5S ribosomal RNA
GUCUAAGGCCAUACCACCCUGAAUGUGCCCAAUCUCGUCUGAUCUUGGAAGCUAAGCAAGGUCAGGACUGUUUAGUAUUUGGAUGGGAGAUCACCUGGGAAUACUGGGUGCUGUAGGCU